rnacentral:lncRNA from 1 species
UUCUUUCUGGUGUUAAAAUGUAGUGUGUUCUGGUUCUCUCUUAAAAGAAAACAAGAACCAGGAUACAUGCUGUAGUGUUGAACCAUGCUGUGUUGCUUGCCAGGCAGCAUUAACUAAGGGCGCAUAGGGAGCAAGCAAGCGCGGUCUAUCGCCUGCACUUGGGCUGGCUUGUGGAGGAAGCAACUCACUUUUAAGUCCUACAUUCCUUCACCCGUUUGUUGCUUUCCUGUUUUUCAUUCUUGAAUUUGUUGCUUUGUGGGAACUAAGACGUAGGGAUCAUUUGAGAAGUUUGAGUCUCUUUUCUGACUGGUUGCCACAUGAUUUGCUUGAUCUUGACCAGUGGAAAUAGCGGAGGGACCAGUCUACUAACCACUGGGAGGGGUGGUAUGCAGCUCCUUUAUUCUAUGGUCCUGGCCUCCUUCAUCAGAACUUAGCUCCAUGUCUUAUCCCAUGACCUGGACCCUGGGAUUCUCUCUUGGCAUCUUCGGUGCAGUCUCAUUGAGGCAGAGGGUAAAGAAACAGACCAAGACCAGAGGGGCUCACUGUCUUCCUGGCUAGGGAAGCUGGCCACCAACAUGGAAGCAGCUCGAGGCUGUCUGGACACUGGUCAGAGGCCUAUCUAUUCUGGGUGGAGCUUUCAUCACAGAACAAUGCUUUGUCUCCAUCUGGCCACAGAUGCUAACUAAGCCUC